rnacentral:rRNA from 1 species
UGGGGAAUCUUGCGCAAUGGGCGAAAGCCUGACGCAGCAACGCCGCGUGCGGGAAGACGGCCUUCGGGUUGUAAACCGCUUUCAGCAGGGACGAAAUUGACGGUACCUGCAGAAGAAGCUCCGGCCAACUACGUGCCAGCAGCCGCGGUAAGACGUAGGGGGCGAGCGUUGUCCGGAAUCAUUGGGCGUAAAGGGCUCCUAGGCGGUUCAGUAAGUCGACUGUGAAAAUCCAAGGCUCAACCUUGGGACGCCAGUCGAUACUGCUGUGACUCGAGUUCGGUAGAGGAGUGUGGAAUUCCUGGUGUAGCGGUGAAAUGCGCAGAUAUCAGGAGGAACACCAACGGCGAAGGCAGCACUCUGGGCCGAUACUGACGCUGAAGAGCGAAAGCAUGGGGAGCAAACAGGAUUAGAUACCCCCGUAGUCC